rnacentral:rRNA from 1 species
GACGAACGCUGGCGGCGUGCUUAACACAUGCAAGUCGAACGUGUUCUGUCUGCCUGUGUGCUGGGUGGGGCUAGUGGCGAACGGGUGGGUAAUACGUGAGUACCCUGCCCUCUUAUUUGGGGUAACCCUUGGAAACGUGGUCUAAUACUGGUUAUUCCUGUCUGGUCGCAUGGUUGGGUGGGGCAAGUUUUUUUCGGUGGGGGAUAGGCUCGCGGCCUUUCAGCUUGUUGGUUGUGUGAUGGCCUACCUAGGCGUCGACGGGUAGCCGGCCUGCGAGGGUGACAGGCCAAACUGAGACUGAGAUACGGGCCAGACUGCUACGGACGGAUGCAGUGGGGGAUAGUGGACAAUGGGCGCAAGCCAGAGGCAGCGACGCCGCGUGGCGGAUAACGGCUUGCGGUGUGUAAACCUCUUUCGUCGGGGGACGAGGCUCUGCUUGGUGGUGGGGUUGAGGGUACCCGGUGAAGAAGCGCCGGCGAACUACGUG